UUGAGCCAGAGUUUGACCUAAUUUUAUGGGGGGGUCCCGGUUAUGAAAGUAUUGAACAUGUGUGGAAUUGGAUUUCCUUCGAGAGUAGUAAAACCCGUAGUAUAUUAUUGCUCAAAACGGAUUAAAAAGGUGACUGAGAAAAGUUCACCGAAGUUGUACCAUUGAUAGGGAAAAAUGUGGAACGAAGUCCCCCCCCCCCCCACCACCCCACAUCGGAAUAAAUAGGAUAUUGUAAAUGGUUAAUAUACUCCAAGUAAAUUAGCAAAAUAAGUACUUGGGCAACAAGAGGAGGUAUAGACAAAAGUUGAGGCACAUUGUACCUUAGCUUCAUGUGAACGCGCGGCUGCGCCCGCAAGCCGCGAGUCGCGGUCCGGCGUAGGCGCGUGGAGGUUUGGGGCCUGUGGGCGGAAUGGGGGGGCGGGGCGCAAUGGGCGCUUCUGUGGCGCUAUUAGUGGUUGCACUUGGCACGUGGCGCGUGGGUGAGAUGGGGGUGUUCUGGAGGAAUUGGUUAAUUAGUUUUAUCCUGUUAGUUUUUAAUUACAGACUAACUCCUUGUAAUUUCUAAUUACAAAUUAAAACCCCAAUUAAUUUUUUUACAGAUUAAACCUACAAUUUUAUUACUAUUAAAUGAAAGGUCAAGACCUUUCAUCGUUGAUAAACAGCAAGCCAUUAUCAGCCAUAAGAGGGGGAGUUAUUUGGCUGAUUAGUGGGGCUGUUACAAUGGCUUCAAUGGAGGAAUAAAAUUAGUGGCUUUUCAUCAGCACAUGGAAAAUCCUAUAAAUACCAACAUCCUUUGCACAAGUUCAAAGCACACACAAAAAAUCCCGUGAGAAAAAGAGAGUUUCUGGCAUCUGCAUUAGAAUCAUGUGAGGAGUGACACUAUUAUGGUUAGGCAGAGCAGACACACAGAAAUCGUGCUAACUUCUGUGAGCGCGCUCGUGCAUCCUGGGGAGGACAGGGACGCCAAACAGCCGUAAGCACCAGUGGACGGGGCGAAUUCUGUCUUAAGGAGACAGUUGUUGAACGCUCGGCCUCGAUCAACCUUUUGUGAUAUUUAUUUAUUAUUUCUGUUCACUGUCCUUAUUUUCAACUUAUAAAAUCAGCACUUUACUGAAGUAGUUUAAAACAAUUAAGACAGAAUUCGAGUUCAGAUGUUUGGUUACUAACAAACAGUUUCUGAUUUCUGAUUUAUUUGUGGAAAAAUAAACGAAAUUAUUUAUUCUUUUAUGAUUUAUUCCCAGAUUUAUCAUCGGUUUACGUGCAGAUGACAACUGAGACGAUGAUAUUCUGGGAUAGCUGAAAUGAUUGCUGAAAUGACCCAGAAUGAGCAGAAUAUGAACGGGGCAUCCUUUGCUUGUUGGGGCCACUUCUGGAUUGCCAUCCCGCCCGCUGGGAUGGGCACAGUUACAACGAACAUAACGGUGAACCAUGCAUGACGAACCAGAACGGUCAAUGGAACGAAUUUCAAAAGAUGGCAGCAAAGAUGCUGUUUACUGCCGCUGAGUUUGCCUCGGUUUCCAAAGAGGACAGCUCAUGUGGUGAGCGAACGGGCUGAAACCAAUCCGAGGUGAUUCCGCUGAAGAGAUGCUUGGGGACAUGCUGAUUUCCCUUUGCAGGAAUUAUGUCCUGAAGGAUUGAGACAAUUCACUCUCCACUGUGUAUUGUGCCAAACGACUGCCAAAGGAAUGUGGGGUCUUUGGAAAGAAGUACAAAACUGAAAGAGCUGCGGGUCAAGAAAUUGUAGUGGCAGAUUUCUGGAAUACAUGAUGGUAGGCCCCCAAAACGGUGCUUAGCCCCGUCCAAGAAUUCCAGAUGAUUUUGAAUGAAAUUAAUGCAGAAGGGCAUUGCAAAAAUCAGCGAGACUUUUCAAGUAGCCUGCAGUGAUUGAAAAAAUUCCCACCUUCAUGGAAGGAUUUCAAGAACAUCUCAAGCACAAGCGAAAGGAGAUGAACCGGACGACUUGAUUGUGCGGCUCCGAAUGCGGAGGACAAUAGUUUUCCGAGGAAAACAGGAAAACCGAGGCUGGCACUACAACAUCAAGGCAAAUAUUGUGGAGCAGGGUUCAGAGCUCCAAGGGUCAAAACUCUAAGACCAACAAAAAGAGAAAUUUCGCACUUUUGGGUGGUUUGAAGGCUCAGGCAAACUUCAAAUUCACUGGCCAAGUGUUAAUCUGCGACAGAUGGGACAUAAGCCAAAGACUGUAGUAGUCGAAAGAACCAAGGAAGUGGCUUCCAACGCCAAAGGCAUGCUCAAGCCAACAUGACUGUGGCGACUAUCUCCACUGGAGUCAAUGCUAUGAAUCUUUGUUGUUGCGGUUAUGACUGAGGUGAACAUGAUCGGCUCGAACACCAAGGAGUGGUGGUGUGGAACCCCAGGGGCUACCCGUCAGUAUGCUCAAACUAAAGAGAUGUUCACCACUUAUCAAGUUUUUUCACAAUGGUGAACAAUUUCAUGGAAACUUGCCAAUUUCCAAGGUUGAGGGCAAGGGAAGGUCGUGCUGAACAAUGACCUGGAAAGGAACUAACGCUGAAUAAUGUACUCCAUGUGCCGGGACCGCCCGAAUCUUUGGGUUCCGGAUCUCUGCCUUAGCAAGCAUGGUUUUAAGCUUUGUUUGUGUGUCAGAUAAGUUUAUUUGACUAAGGAUGGGGUUAUGUGGGAAAGGGGUAAUUAGCGGACGGAUUAUUCAAAAUGAAUGUAUCAAUGUAAUCCAAAAAAUGAAUAUCAAGAAGAAGCUGAAAUCUUCUGCUUACUGAUUAGUCUUCUACAUUUGGGCAUGGUAGGAUUGGGACAUGUUAAUUUGAUUCUUAUUCGUAGAUUAAUAACAUGGAAUAUUUACCAAAAUUUAAUAUUAAAAUACUCCACAAAUUGGGUGAUGUAUGUGUGGCGGCCAAAUUAACAACAGCACCUUUUCAAUCUGUGGAAAGAAGUACUGAACCUUUGAUUGAAGUCAAUAGUGAGAUUUGUGAGUUGAAAUUGGUUCAAACACGAGGAUGGGUAAAAAUAUUUUAUCACUUUUCUAGCUGACAGUACCAGUAUUGUCAUGUGUACUUGCUACGAAAGUAAAGGAUAAUUGGCAUAUUAACACAAAGUUGUAUGCAGUAUAAAAUUGAAGUUGAAAAUCAACUUGGAAAAAUUAUUAAAAGUUAUAAGAUAAGACGUGAUAGGGGUGGUUGCAUAUGAAUCACCUUUGGUGAGUUCGUUCUCAACAUGGCAAAUUCACCCAACUAUUCACCAGAUUACCACAACAAAAAUGGUGUUACAGAAAGAAAAAAUAGAACUUUAAAGAAAUGAUGAAUGCCAUGUUGAUCAGUCAGGUUACCCCAGAACUUGUGGGGGGAAGCCAAACUUUCUGCAAAAUUCCCUUACUUAAUCAAGUCCCUCAUAAGAAAAACCAAUAAAAAACCAUAGGAGUUGUGGAAAGGUCAUAGACCUUCUUUACAAAAUAUUUGAAAGUGGGGUGUUUGGAUAAGUUGCAAUCCUUACCCUAAAAAGGGUUAAAACUAGGAUCGAAACCCUAUGCUUGUUAUUCAUAGGAUCUGCCAAACAAUAGCAGUGAUUAUAGAUUCAUAGUUGCAUAAGAAGUGAUGAAAAUCUGUAUUCAGGUCAAACGGUUAUGGAAUCUGGGAAUGGAAUAUUUUUUGAGGAUGUGUUUUCCCAUUAUAUAACUCUACACAAGAGUUGAAUACAUUCGAAGAGGAAGUAUGACAUUGCUAUAAGGCAGUGACCAAGAUCAACAAUCAGGACUUUGAUCAAGAGAGGAGGAAAGAGGAGGUUGAACCUAGACGUAGCAAAAGAGCUAGAAUGUCCAAAUCGUUGGCCCCGAUUUUUUAUUACUUGUUAGAAAUGAACCCAAACCUUUUAGGGACGCUAUGUCCUUCCGGCAGCUCCUUUCUGGAAGGAAGCCUUAAUGUGAGUUGAAUCCAUCGUGCAAAAUCAUACAUGGGAAAUUGGUGCAUCUUCCACCAGGUUGUAACCCACUUGGGAUUAUAAGUGAUUUUUAAAAGCCAGAUGAAAGAGAGGUUCAAUUGCUAAAUCACAAGGCAACGGCUUGUAGUUAAAGGAUAUAGGCAAACCGAAGGAAUUGCUUACUUCGAAUUUAAUUAUUCUCCUGUCACGAGAAUAACAUCCAUUUUAGAAAUGAUCAUUGCUAUUGCAGCGUUAUUAUAAUCUCGAGAUAACAUAUAUGAUGUUAGACAGCAUUUCUCAAUGGUUAAUUAGAUGAAAGAAAUCUAUAUGGCAAACCUGAAGGGUUUGUGUUCCAGGACCAAGAGAAUAAAGUGUGUAACUGUUAAGUAUUUAAUGGGAUUAGCAAGCACCAAAAACAAUGGCAUGAGAAAUUGAUAAUGUAAUGUUGUCAAAUUCAUUCAAAACAAUGAAUGUAUAAAUGUGUCUAUGUGAAGAACAUGCUAAAGGAUAUGUUAUUGUUUGUCUGUAUGUCGAUGACAUGCUCAUCGUGGUAUCAUAAUGAUAUGCUUAAAACUAACCAAGAAAAAUGUGUAAACUCUAAGUUGACAGGAAGGAUAUGGGGUUUUUUUUUAUUUUUAUAGCAGAUGUGAUUUUAGGAAUUAAAAACAUAGGAAUCUGAUGGAUAUACCUGGUCACAAUCACACUAUGUUGAUCAAUUCUUGAAGAAGUUUAGCAAGAAUGAUAAUAGUGUGGAAAGAACACCUAUGAUCCAACCCAUACUUGGGAAAACUAUCGGUGGAGGUAUAGCGCAAUUAGAAUUAGAGUAUUCCCGAAUCCAUGGGAGGUUUGAUGUAUCUUAUGAAUUGCACAAGGCCAGAUUUAGCUAUGCGUAAGUUAAGCGAGUAGGUUAUACUCAGUAACAAGUGGUGAUCCUUGUCAAGCUAUCCUUCGGGUUUUAGAUACUUAAGAUAUACCCAAAAUUAAGGCAUACACUACACGAAGAUAGCAGCAGUACUAGAAGGGUUACAGUGAUGCAAAUUGGAUAUCCGAUAGUUAACGGCCUCUAAUCACGAGUGGAUAUGUCUUACAGGUUGGUGGUGCAGCUGUGUCUUGGAAGUCAUCCAAGCAAACAUGUUAUAGCCAAGGUCCACGAUGAUCAGAAUUUAUAGCUUUAGAUAAAGCUGAGAAGAGGAUGAAUGGCGUCAUUUCUUAGAGGAUAUUCCUGUGUAGGCCUAAGCCAGUUCGCAUAUGCAUUCCCUUGCGAUUAGUCAAUCGGCAAUUGGAGAGCAGAAAAUAACAUGUAUAAUGGUAAGUAUAGAAACAGAUACGUCGAAGACACGAAUACGGUUAAACAACUUGCUUUCUGUGAAUUAUAUCUUUGGUUAUAAAGUCAAAAUUAUAAGCGGAUAAGGAUGACUAAAGGAUGGAAAAGGAGCAAGUUAUCGAUUAUCGAGAGGAAUGGGAUUAAUUAUUAAAGCCUAUUAAUUAAAAGUCACUCAAUGGCAACACCCCAAACCUAUUUGAUGGAGAUCCCAAGAAUAGGUAAAUGGGGACAACAAAGUUAUGUGUGACUGUAGAGAACACUGUGGAAAUUAUUUUCCUUUCUACCCAUUUCUAUGAUAACUCAGUGAUACCCUGUAUCAGGGUUGGGCUAGCUAUGCUUUUAAUGAUUAUUCAUAUCUUGGAAUAUUCUGAGUAGGAUAGUGCGGAUAUCCUAAUGAGGAAAUCACCUAUAUGAGUGUGAAGGGGCCGCUUCAUGAAGAAUCGAUAAAGGCUACAUUCUCUAAAGCACUCAUGAACUUACCAGGCGAUGCCCAGGGCAAAAUGGGCCACAACCAUGAGAAACCAGUUUUGUGGUUUGGGAAAAACUAUGUGUGAUAAUUAUUGUUUGGCUUACACCACAUUAGCUGAACAGUUAAAGGCAUUAUGUCCACAUGAUUAGCUCGUAUGCUCGAUAGUUUUUCACAGGGUCUAGGUUCCACGCCAACAAGCUACCUAUCUCUAUACAGGGACAUUCCUUCUAAGUUACUAUAUGCACUUAGGACAUCAUGUUUUAUGCCAUUAAAACAGAACAAUUUUUUCAUUCCUGUGGGGGAUUGUUGGAAAAAGUUAAGUUUGAGCCGAGUUUGACCUAAUUUUAUGGGUGGGUCCCGGUUAUCGAAAGUAUGAACCAUGUGUGGGAAUGGCUUCUCACCUUCGCGAAGUGAGAUAACCGUAGUAUAUUUAUUUGCAUCAAAACGGAUAAAAAGGUGAAUGAGGAAAUGUUCACGAAGUUUGUACCAUUGAUAUGGAAAAAUGUGGAAGUCCCCACAUCGGAUAAAUAGGAAUCUUUUUAAAUGGUUAAUAUACUCCAAGCUAAUAUUAGCCAAAUAAGACUUGGAGCAACAAGAGGAGGGUAUAGACAAAGUGACUUAAGGAACAAGGGGAAAGGAGACCUAUUCCUAAGCACCUCUUGCACACCUUCAAGCCAAGCUGAUUUCCCCCUCUGCCCAUGGUUUUGUGCAAAGUCGGUUACGCCAUGGACAAGUGACGUUAUCCGUUAGCUGAGCUCUCCCUCCCCUCGCCGCCCAUUGGGCCCACCCCCUGCUACGAGAGUAAUCAACUCUAGUCGUGCGGACUUUAUAACCUAUGGUAUUUCCUCCCCGCUUGUCCUUUUCGCCCCUCACUACCACCCCCAAUGUGUGCCGGUCCAACCCCCCUAUUGUCGCUCUCUCUACCCUCCCGCACUCUGGAAGUCAGCUCUCUUUCCUUUCCUUGUCCCCUCCCUACGCCUUCCCCAAGCAUCUGUCAUGUGCACGCGCGGCUGCGCCGCAGCGCGAGUCGCGGUCGCGUGGCGCUCGGUGCGUGUGGGCGAUGGGAGCAAUGGCGCUUUGUGCGCUAUUAGUGGUGCCUUGGCAGUGGCGCGGGGUGCGAUGGGGGUGUAUGAGUACUUGGUUAAUUACUUUUUAUUCCUGUAGUUUUUAAUUACAGAAAUAUAAACUCCUUGUUUUGUAAUUUCUAAUUACAAAUUAAACCCCAAGUAAUUUUAUUACAGAUUCAAUUAACCUCCCAUCUUAUUCCUAUUCACUGCACGGUCAAGACCUUUCAUCUUGAAAAAGCAGCCAUUAUCAGCCAUAAGAGGGGGAGUUAUUUGCUAUUAGAUGGGGCGUGUUACAUGGGUUCAAUGGAGGAAUAAAUUCGGGUGGCCUUUUCAUCAGCCAUGGAAAAAUCAUAUAAAAUACCAACAUCCUUUGAAAGUUCAAGCCACACACCAAAAAAUCUGAGAGUUUCACAGUGAGAAAAAGGAGAGUUUCUGGCAUUCUGCAUAGAUUCAUUUGUGAGAGAGUGACACGACUUCCUGGAGUUCGAGAGCACACAGAAUAGUGCUAACUUCUGUGAGCGAGAUCGUUGCAUCUUGGGAGGCGGACAGACGCCAAACAGCGUAAGCACCAGUGGACGGGGCGAAUUCUGUCUAAGGAGGACAGUGUUGAACGCUGGCCUACGAUCAAAACUUUGGGUGAGAGUUAUAUUAUUUUCUGUUCAUCUGUAAAUUAUUUUCAAUUAUAAAUAAGCACUUUCACUGAAUGAGUUUAUUAACACCGUUGUCAUGUUGUGAGUGAUUUCAUAGUCCAGAGCUUGAAUGGCUGCCUUCAACAUGACUCUUCCGGACUGGUUCUGGAGCAUGCAGAGUGGCUUCAACAACUGGUUACCGGAGCCCGAGUCUGGAGUAAGUUGGAGCGCAUCGUUGCUGGACGGAGGAAGCUGCUCACACAACUCGACUCGCUCUCUAUGGUUCGCUCGAACGGUCCGUUAGGAGUACCCGCUUGAAAUGAUGAAAGUGGUGAGGUUUUGGGCGGAGGAGACCGUGAAACAAAGAAGCACGACAAUGAAGCGGAGCUUGGCGGCGGAUUCCAUCCAGUAUCAGCGGUGGUUAUGUGAGUCCAAGGACAGACUCAAUUGAAAAUGUAGGUUUUGAACUUUGGCUGUGUUAAUGUGCUUGCCUUGCCCGUAGCAUUUGAUAUCAUUCUAGGCAUUGUUUUGUCAUUGCUGGUAAAUUGCCCUCCUCUCUCUCUCUCUCUCUUAUUAUGGGACCUGGCAAUUAGUUGGAGUAUUAUUGUUUGUAAAACUACAGUAUGCACUCUUUUACUUUGACUGAAAUUUUAUUUUG
rnacentral:lncRNA from 1 species